UGGUUCUUCAAAGGUUCUGAAAUGAUGGUAAAGGUUCUAUAUAGAACCAUAUCUUACUGAAGAACCCUUUUUUGCUGAAAUGGUUCUUUGUCUUGGCAAAAGGGUUCUUUUUUUUCCCUCCUGUUUUGAUUUUAAAUUUAGUCAGUUAUUUUCAAGCUGCCUCUUGAUUAUUUUCACCUGUAAAAGCCCUGAAUCAUCAGUCCUGCUGAACUGCCUGCAGACUAACAUCCCAAACAGGUAAGAGAGGAAAAUAAUCAUCAUUUACUGUUAAAAACAUUUUGAAAAUUGAAGUUUUGUGUGUUCUUAUUGUAAUUUAUUUAUUUUAUAACAGGUAAGCUUUAUACUGAAAGCUUCAUUCCCUUUAAAGCAGAGUUUUUAUAUUUGAGGUAAUCUUGCUGGGAGUGAAGGCAGAGUGCGUAUGAUCGCUUGAUAUGAGACACACAUACUGUAUUUAAAGGUGAUGUAUGCAUGUUACUUUCAAUGCUGACAUUAAAAUAAUAGUUAUUUACUGUUAAAAACAUUUUGAAAAUUGAAGUUUUGUGUGUUCUUAUUGUACUUUAUAUCGUUUAUAACAGGUCAACUUUAUACGUAAGCUUCAUUCCAUUUAUAACAGAGUUUUCAUAUGUGAGGUAAUCUUACUGGGAGUGAAGGCAGUGCAUAUGACCACUUGAUAUGAAAGACACAUCCUGUUUUUAAAGGUGGAUCAUGAGUGAAGCUCUGCAGGUCUGCCAUUAGCUUGAUAACAGUGGUUUAUGUGAAUUGAGUGAAUUCAAUUUAUAAAUAAAUCUUUCACCAAGCAUUCACCUAUUUACGGACAAAACAGAUCCAAAUCUUGUUCAGCCUGAUGCUCAACCUUGUAUGAUGAUGACAACAGCCAGGUGAUGGAGAUCUGUGUUAAUCACACCCUGCGUCUCAAGAUCAACAUGACAAUAGCAGACCAUUUCUUAUCUUACUCUUAUCUGACUAAAUGUUCAGCAUCAUUGCAACAAAACAAAGAACAUUGGAUGGAGUAUUGGAGUAUUGGAUGAUCCCGUAAAGAAAAUAAUAUGGACUUUUUUGGUGAGAUUCUACAAAGAUUGACACAAUCCUAUUGACUUUUAUUUUUACAGUUAAUAAUGCAUUAUAAACAUCCCAUUCAUUUGUAUUCUAUGUCAUCGAUCUGUUUGUGCUAAAGUGUUUACAUCUGAAUGUAAUGUCAAUAAUAUGUUAAUAUUCAGGAUUUAUUAUCAUUUGCAUGUUUUGAUGUUGAUGUCAUGAUUUUAUUGAUUUCAUGUAAUUGUUGUCUAUUUAAAAUGAUUUUAAUUGCCAAAUUUUAUUGUUAAUUUAUUUAAUAUUGAAGCUGUUAUUUAACAUCCAUAUCUUAUUUGAGUAGUGAUUUGUUAUAUUUGCAUAAUAAUUAAUAUAUUUAUUCUGAUUGUGAUUUUAAUGCACAUAUUUAUUAUUGUAUGACACCUCAUGUAAUGAAAAAGUGAAAAUAAAAGUAUGUUCUGAUGUCUUGCAAUUCUGUUUUUAAACUUUUAAACCUUAUAAAGUGCUAUAAAUAAGAAAAAACAAAUAAAAAAAUAAUCCUCCUGACUGCUGAUAAAUGAAAGGGUUCUUUAUAGCACCACUGAGGUUCUAUUUAGCACUUUUUCAAGGCAAGGUUCUAUGUAGAACCAUCUAAAAAGGGUUCUAUAUAGUACCAGAAAGGGUGCUGCUAUUGUUACAAGCUGAAG